CUUUUAGUUAAGGACCAAGAUUUUGAUUUGUUUCCUAUUUAAACUAUUUCUCUGCAAUGUUUCAAGCCAACUAUGUACUCCUCAAUCAUUGUUCAAUACACCAAAAAAUAAGAGGAAGAGAUCACCUCAACCAUCAGUCAAUUCCUUCACUGCUGAAAACGAUUGUCCUUAUCCGGUAAACUUUUGCACGUUGAAUCUCAUAUUAAAUAUUCGUAAUGGCCAAUAUAGUGAUGUUUAGCAGUUGUGGAUUUUGCUAAUAAUGGCUCACUAAUUUUUUUUCAUGGACAUUAGACUGCCACAGAUAUAUUCCCUUUUCUUAUGCAUAUACUUAAUCUCACUUACUGCCAAACACAAUGCUAUGUUUUUAUUAACUGCACCAGAUUUUUUAAACUUAUGUUGUUCACAUACUACAAUUCAAUUACUCAUUAAGUCAGUGGUAUGUAGACUGGUCAACACCUACAACUUUGCUGUGCUAUUAAUUUCUUAUUUUUUUAAUUGUGUUGCAAAUGGUUUAAGGUGUAUAAUUGAAUUGAACUUGCUAACUUUCCAACUUACUAUAAACGUUAAUUUGUUGCACUUGUAUUAGGCUAGAAUGGCUAACGAUAUUGACGACUUUAAGAUGUGGGGGUUUGAAAAUGUGAAGAUAUUUUUAGAAAUAUUGUUGGAUGAAAUUUAGAAAGAGGGUCCUCGGAUGUCAAAGAAAGAUAGAAGUUUUUACCCAAAGCAGUGGCAAACAAUUGAUGAGGAGAUGACUAAAAAGGUUGGAAAAAAUUUUGGGCUAAAAAAAUUGAAGGGUAAGUUCGCGCGUUUGAAGGCAAACUACAAAGAGUUUGUUUCUCUAAAAGCCCACACGGGUUUGGGCUAGGAUCCAAUAACUCAAACAGUGAUAGCCCCAAAUGAUGUUUGGGAAAAUUAUGUUUAGGUAAUUAUUUUGGCGCAUACAUUUACCAGAACCAUGUGUAUAGAGAAAUAUUUUUUUAAAUGAUUAAUUAAUGUUUACAACUUGUAGGCACACCCAAAUACAAAACAAUUCCAAACCAAAGGCCUUGAACAUUAUGAGCUCAUGUCAGAAAUAUUUGCCAAGUCAUUUGCCACUGGCGCUUUUGCCCAUUCUUCUCAUCAGGGUGCACCCACAUCUGAUGACGAGCGAGAAAUGAAUGAACGCUUUCAUGCAUAUACGACGGGGAAAGGCGUAGUAGAUGAAUCUUGCACUUCCGGAAGUAAGCGUAAGUCUAGUGGCCAGGGCCAGUCCAGUAAGAACCCAAGAAUGGAUGAUACACUGCAAUCAUGGCAACGUUCAUGUGACGCACGUGAAUGGUUUUACCUUCGAGCAGAGGCAAACGCUAGGACAGCUGAUGCGUACUCUGUCGCAGCAUGUAUGGCCAUCCUAAAAUCGAUGGCCCCGGAUCCAAGCUUGUUUUUGAAGGCCAUGAACAUGUUCACAUCACUAGAAUGGCAAACCAUGUUUAUGACCAUGGAACCGGAAAUGAGGUACCUUUGGAUCCUCAGUUUGUGAGAAGCUUGGUCAUCCCACUAUUUGGUUUGAGGUGAAGGAAAUGAAGAUGCUUGCAGAAUUGUUUAGGUUUAUGUUUUUUUGUUUCUGUUAAACUUGAAGUUCUAAAUUUUUUUUGUUUUAAUUUUUUUGUUUUUCCUUUUCGGUUUGGACUAUGUUGGGUGUUGAGCUAAUUUGAUAUUUCAUGCUUUCUAUGUGGUUUCACUUUAGACUUAGCACCAUGUUGUCGUAAUUUAUUUUCAUCAUGCUUUCUUUGUUGCAAUGUCCUCAUUAAAUUUUUAGUGCUAUACUCAUAUCAUUACUGAUAAUACCAUGAUUGUUUUACACUUUCCGCUUUAGAUGUCGUCGUCACGACCCAAUGGAGGGCAACCGAACAAUAUGUACGACCCGUACAGUGACGACGAUGAUGAUGUGAUGGACUUACACAUGAUUUGUCAACUAACACGUGACAUUCCUACGAGACGACCGCAACAUAAUUGUCCAUACACCGGUGAUCUAUACAUAAAUUCUUACUAAGUGGAAAUCCUAAAUCAAUCCGUAACCAAUUGCGAAUGGAGGUCCCAACAUUUGUGGAAUUGGUUAAACAAAUUGUCCGUAGAAAUGUUGUAGGCUAAUCGAACAUGCGAUUGUCACUGGAAGAGUCGUUGGCUAUGUUUUUAUUUAUCUGUGGUCAAAGUUCAGGCACAAGAAAUGCUGGAGAUCGAUUUCAGCACUCAAAUGAGACAAUUCAUCAUCAUUUCGUACUUAUGAUGCGAGCGUUGGGAAAUCUUGCGCCAUUUGUAAUCCAACCACCGAACAUGGCUGUUACCCAUCCUAAAAUUCGAAAUGACAGACGGUACUAGCCAUGGUUUAAGGACUAUGUAGGGGCCAUAGAUGGCACACAUAUUGUUGUUGUGGCACCAGAAGGUGACCAAAUGCCAUAUCGAGGUAGAAAAGUGCAUACAACUCAAAAUGUCAUGGCUGCAUGUUCAUUUUGACAUGAAGUUUACGUUUGUAUACGCUGAUUGGGAAGGUAGUGCACAUGAUUUGAGAUUUUUUCUAGAAACACUUACCACAAAUUCUGCUGACUUUCCACACCCACCACCUAACAAGUAUUAUCUCGUUGAUACCGGGUAUACACACAUGCCCGGGUACGUAGCCCCACAUCGUGGCCAAAAAUACCAUUUGUAGGAGUUCAAUAGGCGGCGUCGCUAUCAUGGUCCAAAGGAGUUAUUCAACCAUAGACAUUCCUCUUUGAGGAAUGUUAUAGAAAGAACCUUUGGAGUGUUGAAACAACGGUUUCCAUUAUUCAGACACAUGCCACGGUAUGAUAUGGUACGGUAAGGGCCAAUCGUUAUGGCAUGUUGUGUUCUGCACAAUUGGAUCUGGACGGUGCAAGAGCAGGAUGAAUUUUUCAAUGCAGAAGAAUCAAGUGACGAAGAUGAAGACGAAGAUGAAGAUGAAGGUGAAGGUAGAGGUGAAGGUGCAAGUGAAGUUCAGGGUGAAGUUGGAGUUCAAAAUGUCCACGAACAUGAAGAUGGAGUACUAGUUAUGCAACAACACAACCAUGUGAACAUGUCACGUGAACAACUACUGCAGAUGGGACAAUGGCAAGAUGAGGUUGCAGCAUAUAUGUGGGAAGCAUACAAUAAUAGAUGAAGGUGACACCAAAUUGUUCAUGUGGCGCUAGUCCAAUGUUGGUGAUUAUGGCUCGCACCGAAGCAAACAAUGGUCGUUAUUUUUUUCGUUGUCCUAAUUGGGAUAAUCAUAGGGGCUCCUUCCUCUGGGUAGAUGACUAUGAUGGUGGCAUACAGCAUUUUACACCUACGCAAGUGCCUCGUACUGGCGGGAAGUGGUUGUUUUGGGUUUGUUGUGGAUGCAAUGCUUUUCUUUGUUUUUCUAUUAUCAUCCUUUUGUUGGUACUUUGUUUGUCAUUGUACUUAAGUAGGAUAUUCCAAACUGUGGUUGAAACAAUGCUUGAACUUGUUGUUUAGUUAUGGUAGCUCAACCAUUGGUAGUAAUUAUGUUGUACUAUUUUGGUUUUUAUUAUUUUCAAACAGAUUGUGGUAAUUGUUUUAUGUCAGAAGUGUUGAUGUACGGUUUGUUAAAUGUUUCUUGUGCAUGUAUGGUUCGUGUAUCGGUACUAUAGUUACAUGUUUUUUAAUGUCCGUUUGGUCAUGUAUGGUUUUUUGGAACCAUGGGGUACUUUUUUUUUAAAACUAUGGGCUAGUUGUUUUACUAUUAUGAUCCUUUUUUUUUUAAACCAUGGGUUCUUGUGGUUUUUCGUUUUUUCCUUCAGCGGGUACACUAAUGUAGUAGUUAAUGACUUAGUUUAAAAUGUAGUGCAACAAUUUGCACUCAUAUGGUUAAAGCUAAAACAUCGUUGGGUCGUAGCUAAAACUAUUUUAAUUCGUGUAGAUUAAGAAAGUGUAGAAUAGAAUGUGUUGCAUGUUUGUUUUUUGUUGCUGUGUUCGUUGGUGAUAAACUUGAUCUACAAGAAUUGCCAAAAUUGGAGAAAAUUAGGGGCAAAUUUCCAUCUGUACCAAAACCCAUUAUCAUGGGAUGCCCAAAUUGCAGAUAGUCAACAGUGGUUUGAAUAUCAAGGUCUCCUCCUGUUGGGUAUCAGAGGAAUUCGACAUGGGAUGAUAAAUUAGGAGAUUGGACACGUAAAUGAAUAGAAGACAAAUUCAGGUUAUUUAUUGUUUAAUUUUACUUUAUUGGCAUAAUUAUUUUCUUUUUUGCACUUAUUACCUUGUUGGUGCUUUUUAGUUCAUCCGGAACAAUAAGCUGAUCAUUUUUUCACCUAAAUCAACAAUGAGCUGAACUUCUUGUAAUCUGUCACUGAGAAAAUUGUCAAAAAACUGCUACUUGUAAAGAACAAUCAAAAGUUGUUUCCUCUUUAUCUACAUUUUUGAUCUCAUCUAAUUGGCAUGAUUGUCACAGGACUAUGGAGUAUUGGCUAAAAUUCCUCAAAACAAAUUCGAGAUCCAAACACAGUUUAAGAGUUGCAUAACUCUAUGCUUUCUCUGGUGGAUUACAAAGUGGUGGUGCUUGGUGUAUUUGUCCUAGACGGAGUUGAUCUUAACAGCUUUCUAACCCUGCUCGGUGUCAGGCUCAUGCGACUAAGCUCAGCAUCACUUAAUGCAACUCAAUCUCAUUUGUAGAUAUUUAUUUGUGUCGUUUGUAUGAAUUG